rnacentral:rRNA from 1 species
CACGUAGGGGGCAAGCGUUGUCCGGAUUUAUUGGGCGUAAAGAGCUCGUAGGCGGUUCGGUAAGUUGGGUGUGAAACCUCCAGGCUCAACCUGGAGACGCCACCCGAUACUGCUGUGACUAGAGUCCGGUAGGGGAGCGUGGAAUUCCUGGUGUAGCGGUGAAAUGCGCAGAUAUCAGGAGGAACACCAGCGGCGAAGGCGGCUCUCUGGGACGGUACUGACGCUGAGACGCGAAAGCGUGGGGAGCGAACAGG